UACGUAGGGCGCAAGCGUUGUCCGGAAUUAUUGGGCGUAAAGAGCUCGUAGGCGGCCUGUCGCGUCUGCUGUGAAAUCCCGGGGCUUAACCCCGGGCGUGCAGUGGAUACGGGCUGGCUGGAGGCAGGCAGGGGAGAACGGAAUUCCCGGUGUAGCGGUGAAAUGCGCAGAUAUCGGGAGGAACACCAGUGGCGAAGGCGGUUCUCUGGGCCUGUACUGACGCUGAGGAGCGAAAGCGUGGGGAGCGAACAGG
rnacentral:rRNA from 1 species